UUUUUUUUUUUUUUUUUUUUUUCUCUUUCCAACUUUCUUAUUGAUAUAUACUCCUUUAACAACAGAACCGAGCUAAUCCCAAAAACCAUAUUUAUCGGGUCUGCUUUCUGGAAACCUUCUCGGUUACUCAGUCACUCACUAAAUAACGUUUUCUGUAAACUUAAAUGCCACUUCGUCCUCUUUUAGUCCACAUUUUUACUGUCGAUUAGAUUAUUUCUGAUCAUUGCAAAUUUUUUUUUUCCUUUUUGGUUUAUUGCAGAUAAUUCUGCGCAUGCAGAGCUCUGCUUGCGGAUUGAUGGUUAUACCAAUCCACCACUCUCUUCUGGAGGAGUAGGAGAUGUUGACAGAAAUAAAGAUCUAUAGACCGCUGCAUUUGUACUGAAUUUUGAGGCCAGAGAGGGUCAAAACUAAAUAAAAUCUUGGCCUUGAAAGCAGCUAUCAGAUUUUUAUUCAUUAUCGAUCCCCCCCCAUGUCACUAGUGUCCCUAUUCUCAUCCCAGUCCCACAUAUGGACAGCAAUCCGAUAAAAUGCGGAGGAGGUUCUUCGUCGUUGUUUUUGCCUCCAAAGUCCAAACCCCCACCUCACUCAACACCAACAAUGUGGUUAGUACUGCUACUACGCUAUACAUGAUUACAUACUACAAUUUACUCAAAUGUCCAUGCAUUCUUCCCAAAUUUUCAGUUAAUAUUAUUGCUAACAUGCUACCCAAAAAAAAAAAAAGCCAUCAAUGCAAUUUUGGCUUAUCUGCGCUUAUGUUCUUCUAGUCUUUGAUGCAUUUUGGCCCUUUGGAUGGCGGCAUUGACAAAUAUACCGCUUGUCUGAUUUUCCUUUCUUUCGGUUUUUUUUUUUUUUAAAUUUAUUGUCAUUUCCUUUUUUUUUUUAUUACCACUCGCUCUCUCUCUCGCUCUUUUUGUGUGGGGUACCUGUCUUUUUGUUCUCCAAUUCAAGUUUGUUGGUUUUCGUGAAUUGAAGGUUCUGUUUUUGACGGUGGGAAGCUUGCAUUUUUGAAGAAAUCGAGGAAACAUACGCUCAGAAUGGGGCGUGUGGGGUCGGACGGUGAAGCUGAGCUUCGUCUUAGCAGCAGAAAUAGUACUUCCAAUAAAGGAUUUAAGUUUCCCAAAAAGGUAAACAAGUUGUUUGUUUAUUGUCUCUGGUUCAGUGCUCUGGACUACGCAGCGUUUGUUGUUAUUUGUUUGGCCGUUAGCGUAAAUAAAAUGUUGAUUAUUCUAAAAUUCAGAGAGCUUUUUGCAGUUUAUGAAAGGUGACUGCACUACUGUUUGUAAUUUCUCUGUUCCCAGGAAGUUGCGAUCAGGUUUGUUAUCCACUUACUGCUCAGUUGCUUAUUCAUUAGGGAAGAUUAGUAGUUGGAGCCCACUAAUUUUAAUUUGGAUCUGAAUGUGGUGGGUCUUGUGGGACGUUUCCUGAUAUUUUUAUAGCCCUGGUGUUUGUGGAUUCCAACUUUCUUUCUUUUGCUUUUCCUUGUUUUUCAAGCAAUGAGAAAUUCUCGAGUUGUUUCUCCUACUCUCGCAAUUCAACUUGAAAGGUUGAAGUUUUGGUAUCUGCAAUUAGCGUGUUUGGUGGGGGUUGGGAUCAUUAAUUUCCGGUUAAACAUUGAGAUCACUAGUUAUUCACUAGAAAAGAAAAGGGCAAUAUUGAGAAUUUUGUAUCAAAUGUCACAGCCAUGAAGAAGAGAAGUCGUGAAUCAGUUUCUCCACCAUUGCCAGUUUGCAAGAAGCUGACUCGUGUAGCCGGUGGAGUUGAAUUACUAACAAAAGAUGGUUCCACGAAAUACAAGCUGAAAAUGGUCAGAAAAUAAUGUCCAGAAAUUAAUUUUAUUCUAUUCAUUUCUUGUUCCCCCAUUCCCCCCCCCCCCCCCCCCAAAAAAAAGAAAUUGCACAAAAUAGAACGAAAUCUAUAGAUUAAGUAUGUUGACAAUUGGAAUUGGUUUUGCAGAAACAGAGUCUAGCUCAUGGCUGUGUUGCAGAUGGGACCCAAGGGCCUGUCACCAAGGAUGAGGAAGAAGUGGCGGAGGCCUUAUAUGCUUUGGCAGGAGUCUUCUCUAACACUGUCAAGACAGAUAAGGCUGGAUCCGCUGUUCAAGAAUUGGGAAUAAAUUCUUCCAACUUAACAAAAGCUGAGAGUCUGUUAACUCCAAUUGAUGGUUUGUCCGCUUCCUUUUGUUUCAGCCUUCAUCAUUGUUUGCUUUGUUUCUUCUUUACGUGAACUUAUAUAAUGUCUAUAGACAUGGCAGUGGGGAAGGUGGAAGAGGAGGUUAAGGCAGUAAGUUAUGGAGAUGAGGCACCUAAUCAUUCGUCAAAUCCAGAACACUCAGCUGGAGAAUCUAUCAUACUUCAUUGGCAAAAUGGCACUUCACAGCCUGAUAUCUUGGUUGGCAAGCAGACAACCAUUGAAGUGGGUAGUGAUAUUCCUGAAGUAAAUCUUCCCUUGACAACUUUCGAAUCUGAUAAACAACAAACCAUCCAAAAAACAUGUGACUCUGUUGUUUCUGAGGAUUGGAGUGAGUUGAGCAAGACAAGGUUUGUGGGUCUGUCUGUGUAUGUGUUUUUUUUAACUUUUUUUUUAAAGCCUAUGCAUAUUUCUGUCUCCAUCAUUCUUUAGUUCUUGAUUGAGCAUCUAUUGGACAGGUCAAAAUUGCCAAAUCUUAAUAAAAGCCUAGCAAGCGUCAAGUGUCCAACAACUGUAUUGGCACCGGUAUAAUUUUGUGUUGCUUCUGAUCAUUUAAUUAUGAUUAAAGAUACAGCUUUGUUAUAGUUUAUCAAACAAAGGGGGGGAAAUAAAGGUGGUGACUUUUGGUGUCUUUUAGAUUGCAGCUGCUUGUGGCCAAGCUGAGGUACAACAUACCAUCAAGGAAACCAGAAAUAAUGGUAAUUUUACCCAGUUGCGAUACUUGUGGUAGUCAAAGAUAUUGAUCAUUUCGAUGAUUAUCAGUCACAGUAUUCAUGCUCUGAAACAGGUUCCUCAUUGAGGCCAGAUUUGCCUUCAAUAACAUCAUGUGACACUCAGGAGCUGGGAAUUCCCUUGCAGUAAUUUCCUUUUCUAAGAACAAUCUACUUAUUGGAACAUAAUGUUUUAUGCUUAUUGACAUGUCAAAACUAUUUCAGGCCACAUAUUGCUAAUCAUCCUGCUUGGUUUGAAAGUACUAGUUGCUCUGCACAGUCUCCAAAAUUGAGUAGUAGUGUCCUAGCUAAAAAGGUAGGUAGAACAUCUGUUUUGAGCUCAAGCUGUCAGCUUUUUCAACAUUUUAUCUGGAGAUUUCACCCUUCUGAAUCACUUGUAAGCAUGCUUUUCAACUUUAAUCAUGCAGGAUGCUCAAGUUUCCAUUCAUUCAAAGAAUCCAUGGAAGAGAUGUAUAGCUCAUGUUUAUAUUAGUCGAUUCAUUAAGGUCCUCCAAAUCACUGAAAGAAAAAACAGAUCAAUAAUGCUUUCUUCGGAACUCAGAACAAAUGAAGCACCAAAGCAAGUGGCGCGUAUACCUGUUGCUAACCUAAAUGAGGGGAAGAACGGUAUGACUGGAGUUGUUAGUUCUGACAGUUUCAGACGCGCUGCUACUGAGAAAUAUGCAACUGAAGUGAGAAAUGCUGUUCAUUUGCACAAGAGACUCAUUCAAGAUCAGCAGCAGGCUCCAUAUGAGGUCUACAAUGCACAGAAGCAGGCGAGUUUUGUUCUCUUUUUGUCACUUUUGAUUGCCGUCGAAUUUCUUCAUUUACCCACUCACUGUUAUCUACGUCUUUGAUUUUCCUUUACAGAGCUUAGAUUGCUUAUCUUUGCUGCCUGGAAGUGGUCAGUUGGAAAUUAGUAAUGGCAUUAAUAGAGCAGGAAAUGGUCGGGAAAUCUCAACACAGCUUCCUUUUCCUGGCCUGCUCUCCCAGAAUCAACCAUCCAUUCCUUUUCCAGUGCCCCAAAAUUGUUACUCGUCUCCAUCUUUCUCUAGUCAUCCUUCAGUAGCCAUGGGGCAGAAGGUAAUACAACCAUUCAGCCUCUAUUAUAUGGUUAACUCAAACUUGGCUUGAAAGUUUGCAGAUUUAUUUAAUUCCAACCCCCCCCCCCCCCAACAACACAAAAAAAAAAUAAAAAACACGUUCCCCUGCCUCAAUUAGCUCUUCUCUCUGAAGUAUGUGGAAUUCUUCACAACGAUUAAUUUUUAAACGAUUCACCUACAUCAAGUUAAAAAUGGAUGAUGCUAUAACAAGAAAACUUUUGGUUGUUCCUGAACUCAAUAAAUAGAAUGGUCUUUGUUGCUAAAUUUAAUCUACAAUUGGACUUGAACAUAGACGCUCAACAGUCGAUGUUAUCAAUCCUGUGUAAUGGAUGAAGAUUAACCACCCUAACAUCAGGUCCUUUCUUUGGGACAUGGACCUCCAAUCUUCUCCUCCUGGUCAAUUCUUUCUCUACAAAAUAUGCUGUCAUCGAUCUUUUAAGCUAGUUCACGAGGUUAACGUGCUCGAUGCUCCCCAAAAAGUCCGUCUUUGUUGUUCUUUUUUUUUUUUUCUUCAUUUUUGAGUACUUAUAUGGUUUUCAUUUUUCUGUUGGGAACAUAACUAGCAAAUCUAUGAAAGAAACCUCGGAGUACCUGCUUCCACCAGUGACCUGAUUAUGACCAAAACCUAUCGGUUUAUUACUUGUUACAACUUACAACCUCUUUAACCAUCGAUGUUUUAAUUUGUGACAGUUCC
rnacentral:lncRNA from 1 species